CUUUCCUGUGAACACUGAUGUUUGACUCAUUCAGCUGAAGACGGCUCAUCACCAACAUGCUCCUCACAGUAUUUCUGUCUCUUCUGUUACAUUCAGGUCUCAGCGUCGUCGUUCUUCAGUCUGAAGAUCUGAUGAGUCUCCCCAGAGACCCUCUGCUGCUGAAGUGCAGCCUGGGUGAAGGCUUCUCCAUGAGCAGCUACACCAUGCUCUGGUACCGACAGAAACACCACGGAGCCCAGAUAGAGUUUCUGACCAAAGAGUACGACGACGGUUCGGGACGCUUCAAGUCGUCGAUCGAUACAGCCAAAAACAGCUUCACUCUUCAAGUUCCUGAGCUGUCUGUGGACGACAGCAGCAUCUACUACUGCGCCGCCAGUCACAGUGAUGCAAACACAGCAGACAGUCAUACAAAUAACACGACAGAUGGCAGGAAGGAGCUGUGGCUUGUCUGGGUUUGAUCCAGCAGAGGAAAGUAGGUUAAGACACACUGGCUAAGAUUAACCGAACAUAGCAGUUAUUUUACGUGUCCAUGAGGGGCUAUCGGUUGUGCAGCAGUGCAAGAAUCUGUAAAAAUCUGCAGAUACCUGCUGCUGAGAGGAUAAAACACAAACUACAAAGAGAAGACAUGUUCUCUUACAGCUCUUAAUGUGUAUUAAUAUCAUAUUAACCACCUGUCUUUUCUGCUUAUAAAGUGCUUUGACUGCAAUGACUGAAUUGUGGGUAAAUUAUCCUCCAUGCUGGACCUACAUAUGUGUAAAUUCAUCAUGUCGUAUGUAGGGCUGGACCCGAAUAUUCCGAAUAUCCGAAUAUUCGUUCGCUACGGCACUAUCCGGAUAUUAAUUUUGGUCGGCAGCCAUCCGAAUGGCCGGGUGGCUGCCGACUCUGACGUCACGCUUCACUUCGUUGCAUAAACACAAGACAAGAUGCUGAAGACCGGUGUUUGGGAAUUCUUCAGUUUAACUAAAGACUGAACGAGGGCAAAAUGAGGACCUGGGAGACCAGACGAACGGAUCCGACUAUUCGGGCCGCCCCCCCGGUCGGAUGUUACGGGGCGGAACGAAUAUCCGGAUAUUCGUCUUUAAUAGGGCCCGAAUAUUCGGAGGCCAGAAACCACUAUUCGGGCCAGUCCUAGUCGUAUGUAUAUUUAUCCAUAUAGAAACUCAAUCUUAACUGUCCUCAUCUGUCUGUAAAUUUCACUAUGUCAUAAUGUACAUAUCCAAACGUAGAUUUAUCAUGCCUGGCAUACUGUCUAUUAUUCUAUCUUUAUUUUUUAGCCCUGUUGUCCUUUCUGUAAUUCUUGUAUUUCUUUCUGUCUGUAUCUGUAUCCAGUUGCUGUAACAUGAACAUGAUCAAUUAAGUUUAUCUUAGCUUAUCCAAUAUGUACAUACUUCUUUAAAUCAUUAAAAU